rnacentral:pre_miRNA from 1 species
AGUGGAAUUGCUGGGCUAUAUGAUAAUUGUAUGUUUAAUUUUGUGAGGAAUUGCCAAACUAUUCUCUAUAGCAGUUGUACCAUUUUACAUUCCCACCAGCAAU